rnacentral:rRNA from 1 species
UUUAUGGAGAGUUUGAUCCUGGCUCAGGAUGAACGCUGGCGGCGUGCCUAAUACAUGCAAGUCGAGCGAACGGACGAGAAGCUUGCUUCUCUGAUGUUAGCGGCGGACGGGUGAGUAACACGUGGAUAACCUACCUAUAAGACUGGGAUAACUUCGGGAAACCGGAGCUAAUACCGGAUAAUAUUUUGAACCGCAUGGUUCAAAAGUGAAAGACGGUCUUGCUGUCACUUAUAGAUGGAUCCGCGCUGCAUUAGCUAGUUGGUAAGGUAACGGCUUACCAAGGCAACGAUGCAUAGCCGACCUGAGAGGGUGAUCGGCCACACUGGAACUGAGACACGGUCCAGACUCCUACGGGAGGCAGCAGUAGGGAAUCUUCCGCAAUGGGCGAAAGCCUGACGGAGCAACGCCGCGUGAGUGAUGAAGGUCUUCGGAUCGUAAAACUCUGUUAUUAGGGAAGAACAUAUGUGUAAGUAACUGUGCACAUCUUGACGGUACCUAAUCAGAAAGCCACGGCUAACUACGUGCCAGCAGCCGCGGUAAUACGUAGGUGGCAAGCGUUAUCCGGAAUUAUUGGGCGUAAAGCGCACGUAGGCGGUUUUUUAAGUCUGAUGUGAAAGCCCACGGCUCAACCGUGGAGGGUCAUUGGAAACUGGAAAACUUGAGUGCAGAAGAGGAAAGUGGAAUUCCAUGUGUAGCGGUGAAAUGCGCAGAGAUAUGGAGGAACACCGGUGGCGAAGGCGACUUUCUGGUCUGUAACUGACGCUGAUGUGCGAAAGCGUGGGGAUCAAACAGGAUUAGAUACCCUGGUAGUCCACGCCGUAAACGAUGAGUGCUAAGUGUUAGGGGUUUCCGCCCCUUAGUGCUGCAGCUAACGCAUUAAGCACUCCGCCUGGGGAGUACGACCGCAAGGUUGAAACUCAAAGGAAUUGACGGGGACCCGCACAAGCGGUGGAGCAUGUGGUUUAAUUCGAAGCAACGCGAAGAACCUUACCAAAUCUUGACAUCCUUUGACAACUCUAGAGAUAGAGCCUUCCCCUUCGGGGGACAAAGUGACAGGUGGUGCAUGGUUGUCGUCAGCUCGUGUCGUGAGAUGUUGGGUUAAGUCCCGCAACGAGCGCAACCCUUAAGCUUAGUUGCCAUCAUUAAGUUGGGCACUCUAAGUUGACUGCCGGUGACAAACCGGAGGAAGGUGGGGAUGACGUCAAAUCAUCAUGCCCCUUAUGAUUUGGGCUACACACGUGCUACAAUGGACAAUACAAAGGGCAGCGAAACCGCGAGGUCAAGCAAAUCCCAUAAAGUUGUUCUCAGUUCGGAUUGUAGUCUGCAACUCGACUACAUGAAGCUGGAAUCGCUAGUAAUCGUAGAUCAGCAUGCUACGGUGAAUACGUUCCCGGGUCUUGUACACACCGCCCGUCACACCACGAGAGUUUGUAACACCCGAAGCCGGUGGAGUAACCUUUUAGGAGCUAGCCGUCGAAGGUGGGACAAAUGAUUGGGGUGAAGUCGUAACAAGGUAGCCGUAUCGGAAGGUGCGGCUGGAUCACCUCCUUUCU